rnacentral:rRNA from 1 species
UGAUGCGGUAGAGGAGCGUUCUGUAAGCCUGUGAAGGUGAGUUGAGAAGCUUGCUGGAGGUAUCAGAAGUGCGAAUGCUGACAUGAGUAACGACAAUGCGAGUGAAAAACUCGCACGCCGAAAGACCAAGGUUUCCUGCGCAACGUUAAUCGACGCAGGGUUAGUCGGUCCCUAAGGCGAGGCUGAAAAGCGUAGUCGAUGGAAAACAGGUUAAUAUUCCUGUACUUCCAGUUAUUGCGAUGGAGGGACGGAGAAGGUUAGGCCAGCCUGGCGUUGGUUGUCCAGGUUUAAGGUGGUAGGCUGAAAUCUUAGGCAAAUCCGGGAUUU